AGUCUCUGUACAAUAGAAAACCCUCCGCUUCCUCAAGCCUCAGCCCUCAUUCCCUCAAGUCUGUCUGCUUCCUCAACCCUGCGCCUCUGCCUCGCCGUCGCGAUCUUGCCACCCCAGAGUUCCAGACUCCCAAGCUCUGCCUCGCCGUCGCCGAGGCACCAUCAUGUCGUCGCCAUCCAGGCUCGCCGAGUCGCCGUCGCGUCUCUUCUCUGUGUCGUCGCCAUCCAAGCUCGCCGAGUCACCGUAGUGUCUCUAAGAGGUGUAACUGAAGAAAUUUUAGGCAGCUGCAAUUGUAAAUGAACAGUGGAUUCAAAUACAGCAACUAGAGCAGGGUUGCAAGGCUUUCUGAAGCAGGCUGUGAAACAGUAUGAUUUUCCGACAGUGCUUGCUAAUGAUGAAUUAGUAUUCUUGGUGGUUAUUUAAUAUGUAUCCCACUUCUUUGUGUUUUUAUGCAAGUGAAUCUGUGAUUGCUCUUAUUAAGUUCAAAUUUGCAGGCCAGUUUGCUUGAGGUUUUUAAUGAAGAAUUGAAGACUUGACUACUUUGAGAAGUUGUUAAUGAAGAGUUAAACUUUGGAUAUUUGGGACUUUUUGAAUUUUGAACAAGCUCUAUUUAUCUAUUUAUGUAUUUUGGAUAAACAUUUGAAGUUUUGAACAAUUAACAAUAUAUUUAAAUUA